GCAAAAUCCCCAUGAUCAUAUGAUUUAUAUUCGGAUGUUCAUAUUAAUAUGAACAUCCGAAUAUAAAUCAUAUGAUCAUGGGGAUUUUGC
rfam:Ophiophagus hannah scaffold114099.1, whole genome shotgun sequence.